AAACGACUCUCGGCAACGGAUAUCUUGGCUCUCGCAUCGAUGAAGAACGUAGCGAAAUGCGAUACUUGGUGUGAAUUGCAGAAUCCCGUGAACCAUCGAGUCUUUGAACGCAAGUUGCGCCCGAAGCCUUUAUGGCCGAGGGCACGUCUGCAUGGGCGUCACGCAU
rnacentral:rRNA from 1 species